rnacentral:rRNA from 1 species
UACGACUACAUAUCAGGCAUAUCAAUAAGCGGAGGAAAAGAAACUAACAAGGAUUCCCUUAGUAACGGCGAGUGAAGCGGGAAGAGCUCAAAUUUGAAAUCUUCAAGGUUUUACCUUGACGAAUUGUAGUUUAAAGAAGUGUUUUCUGUUGAAGUUUUGGUAAAAGUUCUUUGGAAUAGGACAUCAUAGAGGGUGAGAAUCCCGUAUUUGACCAUUAUCUUCAGCUGUGUGAUACACUUUCAAAGAGUCGGAUUGUUUGGGAAUGCAGUCCAAAAUGGGAUGGUAAAUUUCAUCUAAAGCUAAAUAUUGGCGAGAGACCGAUAGCGAACAAGUACCGUGAGGGAAAGAUGAAAAGAACUUUGAAAAGAGAGUUAAACAGUACGUGAAAUUGUCAAAAGGGAAGCGUUUGACACCAGUGUUGUUUUCUCGAAAAUCAAUUAAGAAAAGUUGGAUUUUGUGUUGUAUUGACCUUAACAGCUUGCUUCACUCUUUUCCAGCUUUUUUUAAUGCACUUUUCGUUUAACAAGUCAACAUCAGUUUCUUUUGUUGUAAAAGGGUCAUUGGAAGGUGGCUUUUCUCUUCGGAGAAAGUGUUUAUAGCCUUUGAUCUCUGCAAUCGGAGAGACUGAGGUCUGCAGCGUAGAGCCUUCGGGGUUAGAUACAUUUGUGCUAAGCUACAGCCUUUCAUAGACAACUUGUUGACUAUGUUUAGUCUUGUGACUUACCCGCUUAUGCUAUUUUACCUACGCUUAGGAUGUUGAGCGCAUGUCUCUCUCUC